rnacentral:rRNA from 1 species
GAUCUCAUCUGAUCUUGGAAGCUAAGCAGGGUCAGGCCUGUUUAAUACUUGGAUGGAAGAC